rnacentral:rRNA from 1 species
GACGAACGCUGGCGGCGUGCUUAACACAUGCAAGUCGAACGAAGAAGUUCCUUCGGGAAUGGAUUAGUAGCGAACGGGUGAGGAACACGUGAGAAACCUGCCUUUCAUUUUGGGAUAACUCCGGGAAACCGGGGCUAACACCGAAUACUCCGUCUCGGCGGCAUCGCUGAGCCGGGAAAAAAUUUUGAUGAAAGAUGGUCUCGCGGCCUAUCAGCUAGUUGGUGAGGUAAUGGCUCACCAAGGCAACGACGGGUAGCCGGCCUGAGAGGGCGACCGGCCACACUGGGACUGAGACACGGCCCAGACUCCUACGGGAGGCAGCAGUGGGGAAUAUUGGGCAAUGGGCGCAAGCCUGACCCAGCGACGCCGCGUGAGGGAUGAAGGCCUUCGGGUUGUAAACCUCUUUCAGUAGGGAAGAAGCGAAAGUGACGGUACCUAAAGAAGAAGCACCGGCUAACUAUGUGCCAGCAGCCGCCGUAA